UACGUAGGGUGCGAGCGUUAAUCGGAAUUACUGGGCGUAAAGCGUGCGCAGGCGGUUCGUUGUGUCGGUGGUGAAAGCCCCGGGCUCAACCUGGGAAUGGCCAUGGAAACUGGCGAACUGGAGUGUGGCAGAGGGGGGUGGAAUUCCGCGUGUAGCGGUGAAAUGCGUAGAGAUGUGGAGGAAUACCGAUGGCGAAGGCAGCCCCCUGGGAUAACACUGACGCUCAUGCACGAAAGCGUGGGGAGCAAACAGG
rnacentral:rRNA from 1 species